UCAGAAUCACAAGUAAAAGGGAUUGCAAGUUCAACUACAUACUCAUAAUGGUCUGAAAGCCUAAGUUCCCAAAGUGGAACCCUAAUACCAUUUACCCAAAGAAAAACCCCCAAAUCCUUGGGUUUCAAAUUGAGCCAGACAAUAGAGGUGAGAAAACAGUUCAUUGAAAGAGGCUUAGAAGUCUCUUUCAGAGACAAACAUACACAAGCAAGUUCAGAAGAAAGAUAUGAUACGAGUUUUUAAAGAACACUUGAGAAAAAGAUGCUUAGUAGAAACACGAACAAAGUUUAGUAAAGUGAAAAAAAAUCACAGGAGUCAACAAUAAACACAUAUAGAAAAGAGUAAGGAAAACAACACCAAUUAAUAUGCGAGCAUAGGAAUAACAACAAAAGAUAGAAAAGUCUUGCAUAAUAGAAAAGAAACAAGAGAGCAAACUUAUGCGUAAUAAAAGGGAAACCUACAAGAACAAAACAAACGUAAACGUAGAACAGGAAGAAUCAAAAAAAUAUUUGAAGAAAACUUUUUAGAAACCCUAAAUCGAAAGUGAACGGUUUUUUUAAAAAUGAAAUUUUGGGAACACCUUUAAAAAGUCAAGUAAAGCCAAGCAUGGCAUAUAUCUAAGAAAGAUAAGCAAGUACAGAACCUCAGAUGGCUUAGAGUUGCAGAGAAAACCCUAGAAUGAGAAAGGUCUUGAGGAAAGUCGGAACCUGAGUCGAAAAGAUUCAUAUUGCUUGAACAUGCGGGAAUAACGGCCGGAGAGGCCAUAGAACUGCAUAUCUGAGAAAGAUCUAAAGAGAACCAUUGAAUUCUGGCUUCAGAACCUCGAGUAGCUUAGGUUUAAUGCUGAGAGAAAGUAAGUACAAGCCAUCCAUGGCCUGGAAUGCCAUAGAUUCCGGUUGAAUCAUGGUGGAAUGAGGUGGGAAUCGAUUAGGGUUUCGAAGAGGCUAGAGAGAGUUUGAGAGAUGGAGUAGGUUCAAAGGCAG
rnacentral:lncRNA from 1 species